UACCAGCACCCCGAGUGGUCGGGACGAUUAUUGGGCCUAAAGCAUCCGUAGCCGGUCAUGCAAGUCUUCCGUUAAAUCCAGCCGCUCAACGGUUGGGCUGCGGAGGAUACUACGUGGCUAGGAGGCGGGAGAGGCAAGCGGUACUCAGUGGGUAGGGGUAAAAUCCUGUAAUCCUUCGGGGAGGACCAGUGGCGAAGGCGUCACGCUAGAACGGCUCUGACAGUGAGGGACGAAGCCCUGGGGCGCAAACCGG
rnacentral:rRNA from 1 species